rnacentral:rRNA from 1 species
GAAGCACUUUAUUUGAUUUCCUUCGGGACUGAUUAUUUUGUGACUGAGUGGCGGACGGGUGAGCAACGCGUGGGUAACCUGCCUUGUACAGGGGGAUAACAGUUGGAAACGGCUGCUAAUACCGCAUAAGCGCACAGCAUUGCAUGAUGCAGUGUGAAAAACUCCGGUGGUAUAAGAUGGACCCGCGUUGGAUUAGCUAGUUGGUGAGGUAACGGCCCACCAAGGCGACGAUCCAUAGCCGACCUGAGAGGGUGACCGGCCACAUUGGGACUGAGACACGGCCCAAACUCCUACGGGAGGCAGCAGUGGGGAAUAUUGCACAAUGGGCGAAAGCCUGAUGCAGCGACGCCGCGUGAGCGAAGAAGUAUUUCGGUAUGUAAAGCUCUAUCAGCAGGGAAGAUAAUGACGGUACCUGACUAAGAAGCACCGGCUAAAUACGUGCCAGCAGCCGCGGUAAUACGUAUGGUGCAAGCGUUAUCCGGAUUUACUGGGUGUAAAGGGAGCGCAGGCGGUGCGGCAAGUCUGAUGUGAAAGCCCGGGGCUCAACCCCGGUACUGCAUUGGAAACUGUCGUACUAGAGUGUCGGAGGGGUAAGCGGAAUUCCUAGUGUAGCGGUGAAAUGCGUAGAUAUUAGGAGGAACACCAGUGGCG